ACACAUGCAAGUCGAGCGGUAACACAGGGAGCUUGCUCCUGGGUGACGAGCGGCGGACGGGUGAGUAAUGUCUGGGAAACUGCCUGAUGGAGGGGGAUAACUACUGGAAACGGUAGCUAAUACCGCAUAACGUCGCAAGACCAAAGAGGGGGACCUUCGGGCCUCUUGCCAUCAGAUGUGCCCAGAUGGGAUUAGCUAGUAGGUGGGGUAACGGCUCACCUAGGCGACGAUCCCUAGCUGGUCUGAGAGGAUGACCAGCCACACUGGAACUGAGACACGGUCCAGACUCCUACGGGAGGCAGCAGUGGGGAAUAUUGCACAAUGGGCGCAAGCCUGAUGCAGCCAUGCCGCGUGUAUGAAGAAGGCCUUCGGGUUGUAAAGUACUUUCAGCGAGGAGGAAGGCAUUAAGGUUAAUAACCUUGGUGAUUGACGUUACUCGCAGAAGAAGCACCGGCUAACUCCGUGCCAGCAGCCGCGGUAAUACGGAGGGUGCAAGCGUUAAUCGGAAUUACUGGGCGUAAAGCGCACGCAGGCGGUCUGUCAAGUCGGAUGUGAAAUCCCCGGGCUCAACCUGGGAACUGCAUUCGAAACUGGCAGGCUAGAGUCUUGUAGAGGGGGGUAGAAUUCCAGGUGUAGCGGUGAAAUGCGUAGAGAUCUGGAGGAAUA
rnacentral:rRNA from 1 species